rnacentral:rRNA from 1 species
UAGUCCACGCCGUAAACGAUGAGAACUAGAUGUUGGGCCGCAUGACGGUUUAGUGUCGAAGCUAACGCGAUAAGUUCUCCGCCUGGGGAGUACGGCCGCAAGGUUAAAACUCAAAGAAAUUGACGGGGACCCGGCACAAGCGGUGGAGCAUGUGGUUUAAUUCGAUGCAACGCGAAGAACCUUACCUACCCUUGACAUCCUGGAAAGCUUACGUAAUGGUGAGUGUGCCUUCGGGAAUUCAGUGACAGGUGCUGCAUGGCUGUCGUCAGCUCGUGUUGUGAAAUGUUGGGUUAAGUCCCGUAACGAGCGUAACCCUUGUCCUUAGUUGCCAGCGCGUAAUGGCGGGAACUCUAAGGAGACUGCCGGUGACAAACCGGAGGAAGGUGGGGACGACGUCAAGUCAUCAUGGCCCUUACGACCUGGGCUACACACGUGCUACAAUGGAACGCACAAAGGGCAGCAAACCCGCGAGGGGGAGCGAAUCCCACAAAACGUUUCGUAGUCCGGAUUGGAGUCUGCAACUCGACUCCA